rnacentral:lncRNA from 1 species
CCAUGGUGAAAGACCACUUCGACAUCACAAUUAGCCAUCUCAACUAAUAUAAAAAAUCAACAUUACAUUUACAGUCAGCAAUACUUAGUACUAUAAACACACCAUAAACACACCAUAAACACAUCCUAAAGUGACUAAGAAAUUACACUUCCACAAAGCACUUUAAACACACCAUAAACAAUUAAAAUAGUUUUGUACUGAACCCUAAAAAUUGGGGGACAACACAGAACACUUUAACCUGCACAAUGGGGGACCACAGCANAACACCCAUAAUGGGGGACAACAACCAAACAUAAAUAAUACAUAAUGGGGGACAACCAAACAGAAAUCAAAGUUUGUGGGGGACCANAACAAAAGCAAACACACACACACGAAGCAAACAAGCACACCAAAGCAACCAAAUGAAACCAAUGUUACACUCACCUUCGAAUGGACCUUGGAAUAGAACCCACUUCGCACUUCCAAAUACACCACGAACAAUGCCAAUAGCACUUCCAAAUCACCAAACGCGCAUUUGCUUUCGAAAGCCCAAAUGCGAUUUUUCACUCUUCGUCAAUAGCGAUUUCGAAAGUCCUAAUUACACUCUUCGUCAACUCACAUUCUGUCCUCUAUCUCAAGUGCGAUUUCGAAAGCCCUAAUUUCACUCUUCAUCAACUCUCACAGAACCCCUAAUUUAAUUUUGUUCUGUGAGUUAAAAACCCCAAAAUCAUUUAUUAAUUAAAUUUCCCCAAUUGUAUCUAAAUAAUUGACAUGGCCGACACGUUGCAAUUCUCUGCUGCCAA